AGAUAUAUAAGUUUAUAGGGGGUGGUGGGUAAAUUUUGAAAAGCUGAAAGUGGAAAGGUGAGUCAUCAUCUCACUAUUUCCCUUAGCUUGACAUGUGCUCCACCCCAAAGUCCGUUUCUCUUGUUUUCUUUACUACGCCAGAAGGUUCUUGGUUCAUUUUCUUUGUUUCUUUGUUUUCUUUUUCUCUUUGCUCUUACAUGGCAAACACCUCUCUCUCACUAUUUCACUGAAACAAUAAAUCUCACUCUAAAGAAGAAAUUAAACGAUUAGCCCUAAGGUUUCAACUUUAAAGUUUGUGGGUGACGAGAUCGAGAACGAGAACACGGACACUUGAGCUCCUCUUAUACAAAUCUCUUGUGUCUUCUGUUUUCAGUGCACAGGUUUUUCCUUGGAAGCAGCUAAAGUAUUAGAGGUGCCAAGGAUUCUGUGAUUCUCGUUGUUAGAAUGUAUAGUUUUUGUUAUAUAAUAGUCUAGCUCUUUUGUUGUACAGGAGGAAUCAAGAUAUGCUUGAUCCUUUUGAGCACUGAUGUAAUUCAGAACCUCAGUUUGUUUUGAACCCUAGUUGUAUGUCUUGGGGUUAGGUUUGUAAAUAAUAGUUUUGCUAAAAGUUUAGUUAUGUAACAAUUACUGAAUACUUUAAGUUUCAGCCAAAUUGUAAUAUUGCAAGUUCGAAAUGAAAAGAAGUUUCAAAGUUUUGAUA